UGCAUUGCAGGUGCAUGAACUUCCUCUUGCCUGUUACAUUUAUUUUGAAUUUUUAAAUGAAUAUGAGUAUUUUAUCUGAAUGCAUGGAUUUGCAUUAUGUGGGUACCGGGUCCUCACAGUGAUCAAAAGAUGGUCUCAGUAACCCUGAACUUGGAAUAAUGGAUAGUUGUGUUCCCUCAUAUAAGUACUGGCAAUUGAGCCCACCUCUAUCCAACACCAGCAAGAGCUUUUUACUAGCUUUCCAUCUCUCUUGCCAUGUGUUGAUUAUUUAUGAUCAAAAUUUAAAUGCCUAAUGCUUUCAUGUUUUAUUUUAUAACUAUUUAAAACUAUUAUAGUACCUUUUAGUAAAUUCAUAUUUUUGUUAUAGUUUGAAUUGGGGCACUUCAGGAUUCUUGAUGACUACAGAACUAAAGUAAAUGCAUAACACUUUGUAGGAACUACAGGAAAAACUUCUUAGUUCUUUCGAUCUUUCUUUUUCUACUGAUUUUUGCUUGGGAGACAGAAUCUUAACAUGUACUAUUGGUUUGCCUAGACUUGAUUGCAUACACUAGGCUGGGAUUCAACUCAGAGGCAUUUCUCUUCUGAGUCUUACAUUUAAAGGCAAGUGCCAAUACACCCAGUUUAUCCAUCUUAUUUUUCUUCUCUACAGUUAGUAAUUGUUCAUACAAUUUCUCUCAUGUGUACUCUGUACUGUUAAUCUGUUUAAUUGUCUCUCUAUGUUUGUCAAUAAACAUUUCUCUUGCAAGGUGAUAUUCCAUUCUAAUGGUACAGAAAUGACAGAAGUGAUCCUCUUAUUCAGUUUCCUUCUAAAGUGACUUGUUGACUACAUUAUAAUUUGUAUGUCAUGAAAGAAGUGUGAGGAGCAUCAGAAUUAUUUGACUCUACUCUCAAAGAAGUAUACAUUUACAUUGUUGUCAGUAUUAUGGUUUCUCUUGUACACAUGUAUGGGAUAUUUUAGAAUGCAGUGACCUAAGAUGAUGUGCAUGUCUACUUCAUUUGGGAAGAAUGGACUUUACUGGAUCCUUCCCAGAAGAAUCUCUACAAAGAUGUGAUGAUUGAGACCUACACGAACCUCACUAUUAUAGGAUACAAUUGGGAAAACCAUAAUACUGAAGAGCAUCCUCAAAGUUCUAGAGGAGAUGAAAGGUAAUUUUCUUGUGCUAGUUGAUACAAAUGUGCCUCUGAAGAAAUUAAAAUGUGUCCUGGAUGUUUUAAACAAAAGCAACAGUGUAAAUAACACAGAUUAAAGUACAUCAAUGAUUAUUAAA